GCUUGCUUCUCUUGAGAGCGGCGGACGGGUGAGUAAUGCCUAGGAAUCUGCCUGGUAGUGGGGGAUAACGCUCGGAAACGGACGCUAAUACCGCAUACGUCCUACGGGAGAAAGCAGGGGACCUUCGGGCCUUGCGCUAUCAGAUGAGCCUAGGUCGGAUUAGCUAGUUGGUGAGGUAAUGGCUCACCAAGGCGACGAUCCGUAACUGGUCUGAGAGGAUGAUCAGUCACACUGGAACUGAGACACGGUCCAGACUCCUACGGGAGGCAGCAGUGGGGAAUAUUGGACAAUGGGCGAAAGCCUGAUCCAGCCAUGCCGCGUGUGUGAAGAAGGUCUUCGGAUUGUAAAGCACUUUAAGUUGGGAGGAAGGGCAUUAACCUAAUACGUUGGUGUCUUGACGUUACCGACAGAAUAAGCACCGGCUAACUCUGUGCCAGCAGCCGCGGUAAUACAGAGGGUGCAAGCGUUAAUCGGAAUUACUGGGCGUAAAGCGCGCGUAGGUGGUUUGUUAAGUUGGAUGUGAAAUCCCCGGGCUCAACCUGGGAACUGCAUUCAAAACUGACAAGCUAGAGUAUGGUAGAGG
rnacentral:rRNA from 1 species